GACGAACGCUGGCGGCGUGCUUAACACAUGCAAGUCGAACGGAAAGGCCCUGCUUUUGUGGGGUGCUCGAGUGGCGAACGGGUGAGUAACACGUGAGUAACCUGCCCUUGACUUUGGGAUAACUUCAGGAAACUGGGGCUAAUACCGGAUAGGAGCUCCUGCUGCAUGGUGGGGGUUGGAAAGUUUCGGCGGUUGGGGAUGGACUCGCGGCUUAUUAGCUUGUUGGUGGGGUAGUGGCUUACCAAGGCUUUGACGGGUAGCCGGCCUGAGAGGGUGACCGGCCACAUUGGGACUGAGAUGCGGCCCAGACUCGUACGGGAGGCAGCAGUGGGGAAUAUUGCACAGUGGGCGGAGGCCUGAUGCAGCAACGCCGCGUGCGGGAUGACGGCCUUCGGGUUGUAAACCGCUUUCGCCUGUGACGAAGCGUGAGUGACGGUAAUGGGUAAAGAAGCACCGGCUAACUACGUG
rnacentral:rRNA from 1 species